rnacentral:rRNA from 1 species
UGUGUUGUUGGGUAGGGGAGCGUUCUGUAAGCCGUUGAAGGUGUAUCGUGAGGUAUGCUGGAGGUAUCAGAAGUGCGAAUGCUGACAUAAGUAACGAUAAUGCGGGUGAAAAACCCGCACGCCGGAAGACCAAGGGUUCCUGUCCAACGUUAAUCGGGGCAGGGUGAGUCGACCCCUAAGGCGAGGCCGAAAGGCGUAGUCGAUGGGAAACAGGUUAAUAUUCCUGUACUUGGUGUUACUGCGAAGGGGGGACGGAGAAGGCUAUGUUAGCCGGGCGACGGUUGUCCCGGUUUAAGCAUGUAGGCGGAGGUUCCAGGUAAAUCCGGUACCUUUUAACGCUGAGGUGUGAUGACGAGGCACUACGGUGCUGAAGUAACAAAUGCCCUGCUUCCAGGAAAAGCCUCUAAGCAUCAGGUAACACGAAAUCGUACCCCAAACCGACACAGGUGGUCAGGUAGAGAAUACCAAGGCGCUUGAGAGAACUCGGGUGAAGGAACUAGGCAAAAUGGUGCCGUAACUUCGGGAGAAGGCACGCUGAUAUGUAGGUGAAGUGAUUUACUCAUGGAGCUGAAAUCAGUCGAAGAUACCAGCUGGCUGCAACUGUUUAUUAAAAACACAGCACUGUGCAAACACGAAAGUGGACGUAUACGGUGUGACGCCUGCCCGGUGCCGGAAGGUUAAUUGAUGGGGUUAUCCGUAAGGAGAAGCUCUUGAUCGAAGCCCCGGUAAACGGCGGCCGUAACUAUAACGGUCCUAAGGUAGCGAAAUUCCUUGUCGGGUAAGUUCCGACCUGCACGAAUGGCGUAAUGAUGGCCAGGCUGUCUCCACCCGAGACUCAGUGAAAUUGAACUCGCUGUGAAGAUGCAGUGUACCCGCGGCAAGACGGAAAGACCCCGUGAACCUUUACUAUAGCUUGACACUGAACACUGGUCCUUGAUGUGUAGGAUAGGUGGGAGGCUUUGAAGUGUGGACGCCAGUCUGCAUGGAGCCAUCCUUGAAAUACCACCCUUUAAUGGCUGGUGUUCUAACGUAGACCCGUAAUCCGGGUUGCGGACAGUGUCUGGUGGGUAGUUUGACUGGGGCGGUCUCCUCCUAAAGAGUAACGGAGGAGCACGAAGGUUAGCUAAUCCUGGUCGGACAUCAGGAGGUUAGUGCAAAGGCAUAAGCUAGCUUGACUGCGAGAGUGACGGCUCGAGCAGGUGCGAAAGCAGGUC